rnacentral:rRNA from 1 species
AUUGAACGCUGGCGGCAUGCCUUACACAUGCAAGUCGAACGGAAACGGGCCUUUUGUUGCCGACGAGUGGCGAACGGGUGGGUAAUACAUCGGAACGUACCCGAUCGUGGGGGAUAACGAGGCUAAAGCUUUGCUAAUACCGCAUACGAUCUAAGGACGGAAGCAGGGGACCGCAAGGCCUUGCGCGGGCGGAGCGGCCGGUGGCAGAUUAGGUAGUUGUUGGGAUAAAAGCGUUCCCAGCCGACGAUCUGUAGCUGGUCUGAGAGGAUGAUCAGCCACACUGGGACUGAGACACGGCCCAGACUCCUACGGGAGGCAGCAGUGGGGAAUGUUAGACAAUGGGCGCAAGCCUGGUCCAGCCAUGCCGCGUGCAGGAUGAAGGCCUUCGGGUUGUAAACUGCUUUUGUACGGAACGAAAAGCCUUCGUUUAAUACAGGAGGGUCAUGACGGUACCGUAAGAAUAAGCACCGGCUAACUACGUG